UGUGUAGGUGGUUUGUUAAGUCAGGCGUGAAAUCCCCGGGCUCAACCUGGGAAUUGCGUCUGAUACUGGCAGACUCGAGUGUGGUAGAGGGUAGUGGAAUUCCGCAUGUAGCAGUGAAAUGCGUAGAUAUGCGGAGGAACAUCAGUGGGCGAAGGCGGCUACCUGGACCAACACUGACACUGAGGCACAAAGCGUGGUAGCAAACA
rnacentral:rRNA from 1 species